UACGGAGGGUGCAAGCGUUGUCCGGAUUUAUUGGGUUUAAAGGGUGCGUAGGCGGCUCCUUAAGUCAGCGGUGAAAGCCCGGGGCUCAACCCCGGAACCGCCGUUGAUACUGGGGGGCUUGAGUAUGGACGAGGUUGGCGGAAUUGAGGGUGUAGCGGUGAAAUGCUUAGAUACCCUCAAGAACACCGAUUGCGUAGGCAGCUAACUAGGCUGUAACUGACGCUGAGGCACGAAAGCGUGGGGAGCGAACAGG
rnacentral:rRNA from 1 species